GAUCCCCUUUUCACUUUGCCAGUUGGAUUUACGUCUUUAUUGGUAAUUCAAGCAGGACAAAGGAAAUAUCCUUUUCAAAGUCAAGCAGACUGGGUGUUUGUCUUGUAUCCUGUCAGUGGAAGCAAAU